UUAUUAAUACCCCCAAAAGCAUUUAAUAUUUAAUAAAACAAACCAUUUUUCCCCCCAAGUAUGGGCGACAGAAAAGAAACAUUUAGAGCCAUAGAAAAAGUACCGCAAGGGAAUGCUGAAAAAGAAGUGAAACAACCCAGUAAAGUUUAAAAAAGCAGAGACUUACACUCGUACCUUUUGCAUCAUGAUUUAGUCAGUAAAAACAAGCAAAAGGUACUUUAGUUUGUCUCCCCGAAACUAAGUGAGCUACUCCAAGACAGCCUAAAAUAGGGCUAACCCGUCUCUGUGGCAAAAGAGUGGGGUGAGCUUAGAGUAGAGGUGAUAAACCUACCGAACUUAGUUAUAGCUGGUUGCCUGAGAAAUGAAUAGAAGUUCAGCUUUUUGGUUUCUCCCCCCAACUCGCCUAUCUACGACCGAGCCAAAGAAACCAAAAAAGUUAAUUAAAGGGGGUACAGCUCCUUUAAACAAGAUACAACUUCACCAGCCGGGUAAAGAUCACACAUAAUCAAGGUAAAAUGUUUUAGUGGGCCUAAAAGCAGCCACCUAUAAAAAGCGUUAAAGCUUCUUCAUACCACCACCCUUAAAUUCAGAUAAUACACCCUAAACCCACUAAUUUUACCAAGCCGCCCCAUGCUGUCAUGGGGGUGAUUAUGCUAAAAUGAGUAAUAAGAAAAGUCACCUUUUCUCCCUGCAUUCGUGUAAAUCGAAACGGACCCCCCAUCGAACAUUAUCGGCCCCAAAAAAAGAGGGCAAUGAACUAUCAACCCCAGUACAAGAAAAGCACCCAAAUAUCAACCGUUAACCUCACACUAACAUGCUUACAAGGAAAGACUAAAAGAAAAAGAAGGAACUCGGCAAAUACAAGCCUCGCCUGUUUACCAAAAACAUCGCCUCUUGAAAUCUAAACAUAAGAGGUCC
rnacentral:rRNA from 1 species